rnacentral:misc_RNA from 1 species
UUUUUUUUUUUUUUUUUUUCUGAGCUCUUAAACUGGAAGUCCUUUUCCUUUUAUCAAAGUAGAACAUGAAGUGGGAAUGCAUUAAGAGGCUGUUUGACAUUGAGGUUGAAACCUACUUCUUGGAAAAGUGUCUUUUAAGAUGUUGAAAAACAAUGUUCAAACUGGUAGUUUGAAGAAUCUGCUUAGCUGCUUCGGAGUUUUUAUGACUAAAACAGGUCAAAUUUAAUAUAAAAAUAAU